GACGAACGCUGGCGGCGUGCUUAACACAUGCAAGUCGAACGGAAAGGCCCUGCUUUUGUGGGGUGCUCGAGUGGCGAACGGGUGAGUAACACGUGAGUAACCUGCCCUUGACUCGGGGAUAACUUCAGGAAACUGGGGCUAAUACCGGAUAGGAGCUCCUGCUGCAUGGUGGGGGUUGGAAAGUUUCGGCGGUUGGGGAUGGACUCGCGGCUUAUCAGCUUGUUGGUGGGGUAGUGGCUUACCAAGGCUUUGACGGGUAGCCGGCCUGAGAGGGUGACCGGCCACAUUGGGACUGAGAUACGGCCCAGACUCCUACGGGAGGCAGCAGUGGGGAAUAUUGCACAAUGGGCGGAAGCCUGAUGCAGCAACGCCGCGUGCGGGAUGACGGCCUUCGGGUUGUAAACCGCUUUCGCCUGUGACGAAGCGUGAGUGACGGUAAUGGGUAAAGAAGCACCGGCUAACUACGUGCCAGCAGCCGCGGUGAUACGUAGGGUGCGAGCGUUGUCCGGAUUUAUUGGGCGUAAAGGGCUCGUAGGUGGUUGAUCGCGUCGGAAGUGUAAUCUUGGGGCUUAACCCUGAGCGUGCUUUCGAUACGGGUUGACUUGAGGAAGGUAGGGGAGAAUGGAAUUCCUGGUGGAGCGGUGGAAUGCGCAGAUAUCAGGAGGAACACCAGUGGCGAAGGCGGUUCUCUGGGCCUUUCCUGACGCUGAGGAGCGAAAGCGUGGGGAGCGAACAGGCUUAGAUACCCUGGUAGUCCACGCUGUAAACGGUGGGUACUAGGUGUGGGGUCCAUUCCACGGGUUCCGUGCCGUAGCUAACGCUUUAAGUACCCCGCCUGGGGAGUACGGCCGCAAGGCUAAAACUCAAAGGAAUUGACGGGGCCCCGCACAAGCGGCGGAGCAUGCGGAUUAGUUCGAUGCAACGCGUAGAACCUUACCUGGGUUUGACAUGGAUCGGGAGUGCUCAGAGAUGGGUGUGCCUCUUUUGGGGUCGGUUCACAGGUGGUGCAUGGCUGUCGUCAGCUCGUGUCGUGAGAUGUUGGGUUAAGUCCCGCAACGAGCGCAACCCUUGUUCACUGUUGCCAGCACGUUAUGGUGGGGACUCAGUGUAGACCGCCGGGGUCAACUCGGAGGAAGGUGGGGAUGACGUCAAGUCAUCAUGCCCCUUAUGUCCAGGGCUUCACGCAUGCUACAAUGGCUGGUACAGAGAGUGGCGAGCCUGUGAGGGUGAGCGAAUCUCGGAAAGCCGGUCUCAGUUCGGAUUGGGGUCUGCAACUCGACCUCAUGAAGUCGGAGUCGCUAGUAAUCGCAGAUCAGCAACGCUGCGGUGAAUACGUUCCCGGGGCU
rnacentral:rRNA from 1 species